rnacentral:lncRNA from 1 species
GACACAGAACUCUGUCCCCACAGAGCUGCUACCACCAUGUGGAAGAGCAUCAUGUGCUCGUGCAGGGCUGCAGAGCCGGCCAUGCUGAUACUUCUGGAUGUGCUGGGCACCUGGCCAGAGCUCAGCAUGUGCACCUCCGACGGGGACCACACGGCUGUCCUUGCCCUGGCUGUGAGUUUCUGCAGCUGACCUUUGCUCACCCCAAGGUCACCUCUCCCUCAGGUCUCCAUCCUCCCUCCUCCCAUGGCAUCUCCCUGCCUCAGGCACUGGGCUCCAACCUGGCCUAGGAGCAGCUCCAGGACCACCAGGCCGGCUGCUGUCCCUACAUCUCCACUGGCCUCUCCCUGCCAUGCUCGGGCCCUGCCACAUGGACACCUGGGCACUGAGCGCUGACUCGGGCUGCUCUGUCCUUCACAGGCAACUGUGGUGAUAUGGAAGAUGCUCCAGCUGCCCUGUGUCCCACAUGCAGUGACAGUGUAUUUCCCCCGUCUCUUGGUGCAUCUGCUCUUGCAAGUGCUCUUCAGCACAUUGGAUAUGCCAGAGAAGGUCGAUACUUUCUGGAAGAGAUGCCAGCAGCAACACGGCCUUGCCAUCAGCCCCAACAGGUGCUCCAUGCCAGUCCUCCUGUCCCUGCCAUGUCCCCAGGGCAGCAGCCCGUGCUCCCAGCAUCACCUGGGCUUUGCUGUGCACACAGGUUUGCAGUGCAGACCCUGAAGGCCCUGCUCUGCCGACUGCACUAUGAGGAUGUGGUGGCAGCAGUGGAAGACGAGUGUGGCUGGGACACGCUGCUGUGUGCUGGCACGCACCACUGUGCUGUGGGUGUGCUGGCCAGGUGAGCUGCCCCCAAACAGCGUUUGUGCCCCGUGCCUGGGGUGCCCCACACAGUCCCCGUGGUCAGGGGCCAGAGGGCCUUGUCACCAAGGGAUGGCCAAGGACACUGCACAAGCCUGGGAGAGGAGGGUGCCCAAGGGCAGCUUGGCCCCCAAAGGACCCCAGGUCCCCUUGCAGGGUGGUGGAGAAGGGCCAAGCUCCUCCUGGGAGUCAGUCCAUGGAGAGGUUUGUCCCGCUGGCUCAGGGGUCCCCUUGCAGGGUGGUGGAGAAGGGCCAAGCUCCUCCUGGGAGUCAGUCCAUGGAGAGGUUUGUCCCGCUGGCUCAGGGUCUUGGUUCCUUUUUCCUCCCGUCAGAGCAAUGCGUCACGUGUCCCUACCCUUGUGUUCUGCGAUUGCAUUCUACCUGCUCGGGCUGCUCAGCAAAGACACGGCACACGGGGAUUUGGCCGCCAUGGCGUUCCUUGUGGAGGUGAGCCUGAAGGGCAGCGCUGUCUCGCUGAGCUGUCUCCCAGCUCUCUGCCCUCUCGGUGCCGCAGCCGCCCGGGACGGUGCCCACGCCCUGUGCUGCUGCCUGGGCCCAGCCCUGUGCGCUGCUGCCCCAUCACCGGCCUGUGCCCUUCAGAUGUUGGAGUGCCUGGACUCGAGUGAAUACCGUGACAGCGUCCUGGAGAUCGCAUCAAACAAACUGCAGAGCGAGUGCAGGGAGAGGCGUCGCUUGGCACUCAGAGGCCUUGUGGUGCUCGGCAAGAAUUCCUCCAUGGCCAAAAGAAUGUGGGGCCUGCAUGAAAGGCUCGUGGAGCUCCUGGGGGAAAAUGACAGCCAUGUGCUUGGGAUGAGCAUCGCUCUCCUCAGCCGUUUGUUCCUGUACAAUGGUGGCCCGAUAACCAUCCCCCUCGGCCUGCAGCUGGCUGAGGCGCUCCUGCCGCUCUUUGACAAUGACGAUAGCCAGGUGCAGCUGUGCUCCAUGUUCAUCUUUCGAGAGAUGAUGGAUUUUCUACCAAAGGAGGGAAAAAAGGCCUUGAAGUCCCACGUGCAGCAGAGCCUGCUCCCACUCUCCUUGCACUGCCAUGACGAGAACCAGCGCGUGGUUGAUGUGAGGACUCGGCAGCUGCCGUGGCUCCCUGGCAGGGCGCUCGGCUGCCUCCUGCUCUGCUGCCUUGCAGGCUGCAGCUCCCUCCUGGUCUUGGCCCAGGGACGUGGGUCCUGUGCCCUGGGCUGUGGUGCCAUCUCUGGGUCUCUGCUGCUCUCCAGGCCUCCCGGGAAACGCUGCUCUGUUCCGCCCGAUUCCUGAAGAGGAAGGAUCUCCAGCAGAUGCUGCGGGUGGAUCAGACCUGGAGGUUCGGCGAGGGCCUGGUAAGGGCGGGCUGGAAGCCCCAGCCCCAGGCUGGAGAAGCUCAGUGUGUGCGGCUGGCAGCUGUGCCCUGCCCAGUGCCGCACCCAGGGCCGCCAGCCUGUGCCCCACACGCUGCUCCCUUCCCUGGGCCCCGCGGGCUCUACUCCAGCCCCCUGUGGCCCCGAGCCGUGUGCCCAUGGAGCCCCGGCACCGCUGGUCUGUCGGGCAAAGCAG